AUUGAACGCUGGCGGCAGGCUUAACACAUGCAAGUCGAGCGGGGUGAUGGUGCUUGCACUAUCACUUAGCGGCGGACGGGUGAGUAAUGCUUAGGAAUCUGCCUAUUAGUGGGGGACAACAUCUCGAAAGGGAUGCUAAUACCGCAUACGUCCUACGGGAGAAAGCAGGGGAUCACUUGUGACCUUGCGCUAAUAGAUGAGCCUAAGUCGGAUUAGCUAGUUGGUGGGGUAAAGGCCUACCAAGGCGACGAUCUGUAGCGGGUCUGAGAGGAUGAUCCGCCACACUGGGACUGGGAAACGGCCCAGACUCCUACGGGAGGCAGCAGUGGGGAAUAUUGGACAAUGGGGGGAACCCUGAGCCAGCCAUGCCGCGUGUGUGAAGAAGGCCUUAUGGUUGUAAAGCACUUUAAGCGAGGAGGAGGCUCUUUUGGUUAAUACCCAAGAUGAGUGGACGUUACUCGCAGAAUAAGCACCGGCUAACUCUGUGCCAGCCGCCGCCGUAA
rnacentral:rRNA from 1 species